UUAUAUUUUUUUAAUUCUUGCCAUACAAGAGUACCUAAUGUCAAACUAAUAUUUUUCUUCCCAUUUUUCAAGUUCAAUAAAGGACUUCAAAGAUGAAAGUAAUGCAGGGUGAAUAGAUGAAGUGCUGUCAUGUGUUUAAUAAAUUAUUAAAUAUUUAAGUAAUUCUUAAUAUUUGUUUCUAUGGUGACAAUUGAGAAUCAUUUCUAAUUUUUGCUACCAGCAAAAAACUCUAAUACGUAAAAAUAUAAUAUAAACACUGUGUGAUUGGCAAUUAAUAAAAACCGAUAACAAAUUAUGUGGAGAACCAUUCUUAAGGCAGCGGCAGUGACCAUCUGUGCCGCAGGAGCUUACCAAGUUUACCGGCAUUUUAAACGUGAAAUAAUUGAAAUACCUGAAUAUUACGAACGGCAGGAACUGGAGAAAAAGCGAGACAUUGCAAGCCACCGAAAGGUAAGAGGCAAGGCUGAUCAGUAUAUCUUUACUAAUAUCUCUGAUGAAGAAAGUGAUGAAGAAGAAAGCAACCCGAUUAUGACAAACAACAGCCAAAACGAAAACAACGCCCCAUCGACAAGCCAAGAAAAUCAAGGAACAGAACCAGCCACCGAGGAAGAACUUCUGACUAUGAAAAUAAUUAAUGAUAUAAUAAGAACUAAACCAUGGCUUUUGGAAGAAGAAAAUUCGUUUUCAGCUGGGGACUCUAGCAAUGAAAAUUCUGACGAUCCUCCCAGAUCGUCGGGAACCUAGUUCGACAAACACAUGGGCAGCAUGAGCUGUCCACCUUCACCCCAUCAAAUAUAGAAUAUGAUGAAACACCAUGAACAAAUAAUGAUAUAUAGAUGGGGAAAAUUAACACAAUGCAACAAAGAGCUAUACCAAUAGCAAACCUAUCAAUUCAGUACCUAAUUCAGCACCUUCGUUGUUAAUAUAAAUAAUAGACGAAUACGAAGUGGCUCCAGACACUAGUCACUUGGCACAUGACAUUUGAUGACAAUAUGUUGAACUGGUGUCAAAGUUGAACCUCAGACUAAACAACCAUAAUUUUUCAUACUUGAAAAUUUGUGUUAUAAAAUGAACAACCAUGUUAAAAACUGAAAUGGUUAUGUCGGUGCAAGUAAAAUCCACUGAAAUUAUAUAUUUUUGUGACUUGGAAACUGGCCAAGUAUAAGCCUGGGAACUAUUUGCAAUCAAUUUAUAAAGCACAUGAACCUGUGCUCGCUCUUCGUACGUGGGACUAUUUGUUUUAUUAAUGUGUGAACAACUUUGAAGAAAAGGAUUUUUCAUUUCAAAUAAUUAAACAUGUUAAAUUUUCUAAAUCUAAAAGGAGUUUAGA
rnacentral:misc_RNA from 1 species